rfam:Ictidomys tridecemlineatus contig074218, whole genome shotgun sequence.
GGGGAUGUAGCUCAGUUGGUAGAGUGUUUGCCUUGCAUGUAAAAGGCCCUGGGUUCAAUCCCCAGCACCACCA